GAACGCUGGCGGCAUGCCUUACACAUGCAAGUCGAACGGCAGCGCGGGGCAACCUGGCGGCGAGUGGCGAACGGGUGAGUAAUAUAUCGGAACGUACCCUAGAGUGGGGGAUAACGUAGCGAAAGUUACGCUAAUACCGCAUACGAUCUAUGGAUGAAAGUGGGGGAUCGCAAGACCUCAUGCUCCUGGAGCGGCCGAUAUCUGAUUAGCUAGUUGGUGGGGUAAAGGCCUACCAAGGCAUCGAUCAGUAGCUGGUCUGAGAGGACGACCAGCCACACUGGAACUGAGACACGGUCCAGACUCCUACGGGAGGCAGCAGUGGGGAAUUUUGGACAAUGGGCGAAAGCCUGAUCCAGCAAUGCCGCGUGAGUGAAGAAGGCCUUCGGGUUGUAAAGCUCUUUUGUCAGGGAAGAAACGGUUGUCUCUAAUACAGAUGGCUAAUGACGGUACCUGAAGAAUAAGCACCGGCUAACUACGUGCCAGCAGCCGCGGUAAUACGUAGGGUGCAAGCGUUAAUCGGAAUUACUGGGCGUAAAGCGUGCGCAGGCGGUUUUGUAAGUCUGUCGUGAAAUCCCCGGGCUCAACCUGGGAAUUGCGAUGGAGACUGCAAGGCUAGAAUCUGGCAGAGGGGGGUAGAAUUCCACGUGUAGCAGUGAAAUGCGUAGAGAUGUGGAGGAACACCGAUGGCGAAGGCAGCCCCCUGGGUCAAGAUUGACGCUCAUGCACGAAAGCGUGGGGA
rnacentral:rRNA from 1 species